rnacentral:rRNA from 1 species
UACGUAGGGUGCAAGCGUUGUCCGGAAUUAUUGGGCGUAAAGAGCUCGUAGGCGGAUCUUUAAGUCAGAGGUGAAAUCCUGGAGCUCAACUCCAGAACUGCCUUUGAUACUGGGGAUCUUGAGUCCGGGAGAGGUGAGUGGAACUGCGAGUGUAGAGGUGAAAUUCGUAGAUAUUCGCAAGAACACCAGUGGCGAAGGCGGCUCACUGGCCCGGUACUGACGCUGAGGUGCGAAAGCGUGGGGAGCAAACAGG